rnacentral:rRNA from 1 species
GUGCCAGCCGCCGCGGUAAUACGUAGGGACCAAGUGUUGUUCGGAUUUACUGGCGUAAAGGGCGCGUAGGCGGCAGUUCAAGUCAGCUGUGAAAUCUUGAGGCUUAACCUCAAGCGGUCAGCUGAUACUGAUCUGCUAGAGUGCAGAAGGGGCAAUCGGAAUUCUUGGUGUAGCGGUGAAAUGCGUAGAUAUCAAGAGGAACACCUGAGGCGAAGGCGGGUUGCUGGGCUGACACUGACGCUGAGGCGCGAAAGCUAGGGGAGCAAACGGGAUUAGAAACCCGGGUAGUCC